ensembl:snoRNA small nucleolar RNA U109
AUGCAUGACUGUUGUGGUUGCUCUCUCAGUGAUAGAGAGCAGAGAUAUGAAGCCAUGCUAGAAUAACAUGCUUUGAGUUAUCAGGGCCACCAGUCUCUCAAGAACAGAUUGGGUUGGUAGUAUAAAACUCACACAUUA